AAGAGUACCUGGAGAGAAGGAUGCCUUUGCUCUUUUCCUGGUGAAGUGCAGGAUAACUACAAUGAAUACCUCAGAUACCAGGAGUUUCCCACACGACUCAAAAUAACCAAUGCAGCCACAAGGAAGAUUUGUCUCUAUGAUAUGGAAUUGAAAUCCAACAAGCAGCAUUCUGAAACAUGUAAAGAAAAUGAGCUUCGGGCAACUAACUUGAAGCCUGAGAAACCCUGUGAGUUUUUUAAGGCAAAUAUCUUUCUAAAGAAAGAAGAAUGAAAAUGGGAUUGCUGUUUUCUGCAAUAAUACCAUUCAGACCUCUUUGAAUUACAAACUGUAAGGAAACGUGUUUAACUGUGCAGUCUUUUUCAUAUCAUAAACUAGGAACUCUGAGAUCAGCUACUUUUUUUUAAGGGAAGAGAAUUCAGUGGGGUAUAGAUGUGGUGCAUACAGGUCUCAGCUAGGGCACUCCCUCCUUCAAUGCAGAGGAGCAACUCAUCUGUAAUUAAAAGUCUUAAAUUAUUACCUAGGGCAAUGUAGUCAAGUGACUUGUCCAUGUCACAUAGCUAGUGUAUGUCAGAGACGUGUUCCUGCCUUUAAGACUGGCCCUCUAGACACUGUAUAAUCUGCUUCUUUGCUUUGAAAUAAAUGGGAAGAUUUGAUUUGUUUUCUUUACUGC
rnacentral:lncRNA from 1 species